rnacentral:rRNA from 1 species
ACGGGGGAUGCAAGCGUUAUCCGGAUUUAUUGGGUUUAAAGGGUGCGUAGGCGGUUGGUUAAGUAGGGGGGGAAUUUUUUCGGCUAAAUGAAAAGGGGGCGUUGAUACUGUCAGGCUUGGAUAUGGUUGCUGUGGGUGGAAUGUGUGGUGUAGCGGUGAAAUGCUUAGAUAUCACACAGAAUAUCGAUUGCGAAGGCAGCUCACAAAGCCAUUAUUGACGCUGAUGCACGAAAGUGUGGGGAUCAAACAG